rnacentral:rRNA from 1 species
UACGGGGGGUGCGAGCGUUGUCCGGAAUCACUGGGCGUAAAGGGCGCGUAGGCGGCUUCUCAAGCGUGUGGUGAAAGUCCGGGGCUCAACCCCGGAUCGGCCGUGCGGACUGGGGAGCUCGAGUUCUGUAGAGGCGGGUGGAAUUCCGGGUGUAGCGGUGGAAUGCGUAGAGAUCCGGAAGAACACCGGUGGCGAAGGCGGCCCGCUGGGCAGAGACUGACGCUGAGGCGCGACAGCGUGGGGAGCAAACAGG